rnacentral:misc_RNA from 1 species
GAUGAAGAACGUAGCGAAAUGCGAUAAGUAGUGUGAAUUGCAGAUUUCAGUGAAUCAUCGAAUCUUUGAACGCACAUUGCGCCCCCUGGUAUUCCGGGGGGCAUGCCUGUCCGAGCGUCAUUACAACCCUCAAGCUCAGCUUGGUGUUGGGCCCCGCCGCCCCGGCGGGCCCUAAAGUCAGUGGCGGUGCCGUCCGGCUCCGAGCGUAGUAAUUCUUCUCGCUCUGGAGGUCCGGUCGUGUGCUCGCCAGCAACCCCCAAUUUUUUUCAGGUUGACCUCGGAUCAGGUAGGGAUACCCGCUGAACUUAAGCAUAUCAAUAAGCGGAGGA